rnacentral:rRNA from 1 species
AACGAACGCUGGCGGCAUGCCUAACACAUGCAAGUCGAACGAGACCUUCGGGUCUAGUGGCGCCCGGGUGCUUAACGCGUGGGAACCUGCCCUUAGGUUCGGAAUAACUCCCCGAAAGGGGUGCUAAUACCGGAUAAUGUCUUCGAACCAAAGAUUUAUCGCCUUUGGAUGGGCCCGCGUUGGAUUAGCUAGUUGGUAGGGUAAAAGCCUACCAAGGCGACGAUCCAUAGCUGGUCUGAGAGGAUGAUCAGCCACACUGGGACUGAGACACGGCCCAGACUCCUACGGGAGGCAGCAGUGGGGAAUAUUGGACAAUGGGCGAAAGCCUGAUCCAGCAAUGCCGCGUGAGUGAUGAAGGCCUUAGGGUUGUAAAGCUCUUUUACCCGGGAUGAUAAUGACAGUACCGGGAGAAUAAGCUCCGGCUAACUCCGUG